rnacentral:rRNA from 1 species
GAUGAACGCUGGCGGCGUGCCUAAUACAUGCAAGUCGAGCGAACAGACGAGGAGCUUGCUCCUCUGACGUUAGCGGCGGACGGGUGAGUAACACGUGGAUAACCUACCUAUAAGACUGGGAUAACUUCGGGAAACCGGAGCUAAUACCGGAUAAUAUAUUGAACCGCAUGGUUCAAUAGUGAAAGACGGUUUUGCUGUCACUUAUAGAUGGAUCCGCGCCGCAUUAGCUAGUUGGUAAGGUAACGGCUUACCAAGGCAGCGAUGCGUAGCCGACCUGAGAGGGUGAUCGGCCACACUGGAACUGAGACACGGUCCAGACUCCUACGGGAGGCAGCAGUAGGGAAUCUUCCGCAAAGGGCGAAAGCUUGACGGAGCAACGCCGCGUGAGUGAUGAAGGUCUUCGGAUCGUAAAACUCUGUUAUUAGGGAAGAACAAAUGUGUAAGUAACUAUGCACGUCUUGACGGUACCUAAUCAGAAAGCCACGGCUAACUACGUG